rnacentral:rRNA from 1 species
UAAUCGGGGCAGGGUGAGUCGACCCCUAAGGCGAGGCCGAAAGGCGUAGUCGAUGGGAAACAGGUUAAUAUUCCUGUACUUGGUGUUACUGCGAAGGGGGGACGGAGAAGGCUAUGUCGGCCGGGCGACGGUUG